rnacentral:sRNA from 1 species
GCGAUUGAUCACGCCGAGGCCUGAUAGCCGGCUCGUCCCCCGCCGCGUCAGGUCUGGACAAAGGCCUCAUCCCCUCUCCGGGCCUUUGUCCCCCUCAUUCGAGCCGCCAUGGCGCACCUCCAGGCCAUGGCGGCUUUU